rnacentral:rRNA from 1 species
GACGAACGCUGGCGGCGUGCUUAACACAUGCAAGUCGAACGGAAAGGCCCUGCUUUUGUGGGGUGCUCGAGUGGCGAACGGGUGAGUAACCCGUGAGUAACCUGCCCUUGACUUUGGGAUAACUUCAGGAAAAUGGGGCUAAUACCGGAUAGGAGCUCCUGCUGCAUGGUGGGGGUUGGAAAGUUUCGGCGGUUGGGGAUGGACUGGCGGCUUAUCGGCUUGUUGGUGGGGUAGUGGCUUACCAAGGCGUUGACGGGUAGCCGGCCUGAGAGGGUGACCGGCCACAUUGGGACUGAGAUACGGCCCAGACGCCUACGGGAGGCAGCAGUGGGGAAUAUUGCACAAUGGGCGGAAGCCUGAUGCAGCAACGCCGGGUGCGGGAUGAUGGCCUUCGGGUUGUAAACCGCUUUCGCCGGUGACGAAGCGUGAGUGACGGUAAUUGGUAAAGAAGCACCGGCUAACUACGUG